rnacentral:rRNA from 1 species
UACGUAGGGGGCGAGCGUUAUCCGGAAUUACUGGGCGUAAAGGGUGAGUAGGCGGUUGUAUAUGUCAGGUGUAAAAGGCUAUGGCUUAACCAUGGUUAGCACUUGAAACUGUACAACUUGAGUGCAGGAGAGGUAAGUGGAAUUCCUAGUGUAGCGGUGAAAUGCGUAGAUAUUAGGAGGAACACCAGUGGCGAAGGCGACUUACUGGACUGUAACUGAGCUGAGUCACGAAAGCGUGGGUAUCAAACAGGAUUAGAUACCCUGGUAGUCCCU